rnacentral:rRNA from 1 species
GACAACCACACUAAAAACACAUUUUCCUCAAAUCAGGUAGGACUACCCGCUGAACUUAAGCAUAUCAAUAAGCGGAGGAAAAGAAACCAACAGGGAUUGCCUCAGUAACGGCGAGUGAAGCGGCAAAAGCUCAAAUUUGGAAUCUCAGUCUUUCAGGCUGCGAGUUGUAAUUUGAAGACGUAUUUUGAAGUAAGCACAUGUCGAAGUUCCUUGGAACAGGACGUCACAGAGGGUGAGAAUCCCGUGCGAUGUGUUCACUGCUUCAUGUAAAAUGCAGUCGAAGAGUCGAGUUGUUUGGGAAUGCAGCUCUAAGUGGGUGGUAAAUUCCAUCUAAAGCUAAAUAUUGGCGAGAGACCGAUAGCGAACAAGUACAGUGAUGGAAAGAUGAAAAGAACUUUGAAAAGAGAGUGAAAAAGUACGUGAAAUUGUUGAAAGGGAAGGGCUUGAGAUCAGACUCGGGCAACCGGGCCAGCAUGGGGUGGGGGAGUAGGAUAACCCUGCAGGAAAGUGGCUUCGCUUCGGUGGAGUGUUAUAGCCUGUAGCUAUACUGCUACCCUCGCCCGAGGACUG